UUACGUCGAAACAGCGGUUCCUAUACUAUCAACGAAGUUAAGCAACGUCGAGCCUGGUCAGUACCUAGAUGGCUGACCUCGUGGUAAUACCCGGUGGUGUAAG